rnacentral:rRNA from 1 species
CCCUUAGACGUUCUGGGCCGCACGCGCGCUACACUGACCAGUGCAACAAGCAUCCGUCCUUGGCCGACAGGCCCGGGCAAUCUUUGAACGCUGGUCGUGAUGGGGAUAGACUUUUGCAAUUUUUGGUCUUCAACGAGGAAUUCCUAGUAAACGCAAGUCAUCAACUUGCAUUGAUUACGUCCCUGCCCUUUGUACACACCGCCCGUCGCACCUCCCGAUUGAAUGGUCCGGUGAAGCCUCCGGAUUGGCGCGCACCUCGGUGCCGCCGAGAAGUUGGCUAAACCUUACCAUUUAGAGGAAGGUGAAGUCGUAACA